rnacentral:rRNA from 1 species
AGUGAACGCUGGCGGUAGGCCUAACACAUGCAAGUCGAACGGCAGCACAGGAGAGCUUGCUCUCUGGGUGGCGAGUGGCGGACGGGUGAGGAAUACAUCGGAAUCUACUUUUUCGUGGGGGAUAACGUAGGGAAACUUACGCUAAUACCGCAUACGACCUACGGGUGAAAGCAGGGGAUCUUCGGACCUUGCGCGAUUGAAUGAGCCGAUGUCGGAUUAGCUAGUUGGCGGGGUAAAGGCCCACCAAGGCGACGAUCCGUAGCUGGUCUGAGAGGAUGAUCAGCCACACUGGAACUGAGACACGGUCCAGACUCCUACGGGAGGCAGCAGUGGGGAAUAUUGGACAAUGGGCGCAAGCCUGAUCCAGCCAUACCGCGUGGGUGAAGAAGGCCUUCGGGUUAUAAAGCCCUUUUGUUGGGAAAGAAAUCCAGCUGGUUAAUACCCGGUUGGGAUGACGGUACUCAAAGAAUAAGCACCGGCUAACUUCGUGCCAGCCGCCGCGGUAA